rnacentral:rRNA from 1 species
AGAGUUUGAUCCUGGCUCAGGACGAACGCUGGCGGUGUGCUUCACACAUGCAAGUCGAGCGAAUGAAGAAGGUAGCUUGCUACUUAUGGAUUUAGCGGCGGACGGGUGAGUAAUAUAUAGGAAUCUGCCUUAGAGCGGGGAACAACAGACCGAAAGGUUUGCUAAUGCCCCAUAGGUAUGCAGUCUUCGGAUUGUAUAUUAAAGGAGUAAUCCACUCUAAGAUGAGCCUGUAUCCGAUUAGCUAGUUGGCGGGGUAAAGGCCCACCAAGGCUACGAUCGGUAGUUGGUCUGAGAGGAUGUUCAGCCACAAUGGGACUGAGACACGGCCCAUACUCCUACGGGAGGCAGCAGUGGGGAAUUUUACACAAUGGGGGAAACCCUGAUGUAGCGACACCGCGUGAACGAAGAAGCCUUUUGGGGUGUAAAGUUCUGUCGGCUGGAACGAAAAAAAUGACGGUACCAGCAAAGGAAGCAUCGGCUAACUACGUGCCAGCAGCCGCGGUAAGACGUAGGAUGCAAGCGUUGUCCGGAUUUAUUGGGCGUAAAGAGUUCGUAGGCGGUUAUUUAAGUCUGAUGUUAAAUACUGUGGCCCAACCACAGAACUGCAUUGGAUACUGGAUGACUUGAGUGCGGUAGAGGCAAGUGGAAUUCCCAGUGUAGCGGUGAAAUGCGUAGA